rnacentral:rRNA from 1 species
UACGGAGGGUGCAAGCGUUAUCCGGAUUCACUGGGUUUAAAGGGUGCGUAGGCGGACAACUAAGUCGGAUGUGAAAUCCCCAGGCUCAACUUGGGAACUGCAUCCGAUACUGGAUGGCUUGAAUUCGGGAGAGGGAUGCAGAAUUCCAGGUGUAGCGGUGAAAUGCGUAGAUAUCUGGAGGAAUACCGGUGGCGAAGGCGGCAUCCUGGACCGACAUUGACGCUGAGGAGCGAAAGCUAGGGGAGCAAACGGGG